rnacentral:rRNA from 1 species
CCUACGGGAGGCAGCAGUGAGGAAUAUUGGUCAAUGGGCGGGAGCCUGAACCAGCCAAGCCGCGUGAAGGAAGAAGGCGCCAAGCGUCGUAAACUUCUUUUGUCGGGGAACAAAGGGCGCCACGUGUGGCGUUGUGAGUGUACCAGAAGAAAAAGCAUCGGCUAACUCCGUGCCAGCAGCCGCGGUAAUACGGAGGAUGCGAGCGUUAUCCGGAUUUAUUGGGUUUAAAGGGUGCGUAGGCGGUCCGUUAAGUCAGCGGUAAAAUUGCGGGGCUCAACCCCGUCGAGCCGUUGAAACUGGCAGAC